rnacentral:rRNA from 1 species
GACGAACGCUGGCGGCGUGCUUAACACAUGCAAGUCGAACGGGCCUGUCUUCCUUUUUGGGGGGUGGGUUGAGUGGCGAACGGGUGAGUAUCACGUGAGUAACCUGCCCUUCGGUCCUGGAUAACCGCUUGAAAGGGCGGCUAAUACGGGGUGGUCCGGUUGGUCCGCAUGGGCUGGUCGGGAUAGAUUCACUGUUUUUGGUGUUUCGGCGGGGGAUGGGCUCGCGGCCUAUCAGCUUGUUGGUGGGGUGAUGGCCUACCAAGGCGGUGACGGGUAGCCGGCCUGGGAGGGUGGGCGGCCACACUGGGACUGGGAUACGGCCCAGACUCCUGCGGGAGGCAGCAGUGGGGGGUAUUGCACAAUGGGCGGAAGCCUGAUGCAGCGACGUCGCGGGAGGGAUGGAGGCCUUCGGGUUGUGAACCUCUGUUUCCGGUGGUGAAGGCCCUGUCCGUGUGGUGGGGUUGACGGUAGCCGGGGAUGAAGCGCCGGCUAACUACGU